UCAGGGAUUGUGAUGUCUCCAGGAGUUCUUUAUUGUACAGGACAGCUUACACAUAUUUAAGUUGUGAUUAUGUUAUAAUUUAUUGCAACCAGAGUUGUUAGGGUCAGAGCCUAGGCCUUGACAUCCCUAACAAUCUAGGAGUGGCCACUCAUUCUCAAAAGUCCCCGUUAGACAGACAAAUGGUGGAAAAAAGAGAAAGGAGAUUUAUUCAAUAUGUCCUCAUUGGGAAGAGCAACAAAGAGGGCCAAUUUAUCUUCAGUACAUGAGAUUUAUGUUUGAAUGAGAGAAAGGUAUGUGCAAGUAGGCAGUCCUGAUCAAGUAUGAGUUCUCCAGCUAAGUGGUCUGACAGUUAACAAAGCUGUGUGGAAAUCUCUUUCCAGCAGACAAGCUCUGCUUCCUGUUUUGACAACAGGUUGCCAAGUAUUUCCUUUUUUCCAGCUUGAGAAAUUUCAGUUUUGUUGGGUCCAUUAUGUCAACAAUCUGAUAGUCACUGGGAGAAGCACAAGUGUCUCUUUAGUUUAUAAUACCUGCCAGGACAUCAGUUUGGAUCGAAUAUUCUGAUUUCUAUUAUGAUUUCAUCCACCCAUGACUUAGAGUUGCAUUUACAAUUGCCAUUUGUUAGUAGGAAUAUUGUUUUUGGUUAUAGUAUAUAAUUUUAUUGCACUGUGUUCCAGGAUUGUGAGAGGAGUAGCAUUUGCUACACUCGUGAAUGGUGGAAGUAAUGAUAACAUGGUUGAAGAAAGAGUUGAGUAAAAAAACUAAUCCUGAACUGCUCUUUCUCUUAGUUUCUUCUGUGAAGACUUAUUACUGUUUACACUGCUCUGGUUUGGAUUUUCUAAGUAAAAGUAAGCAUAACCAGCAAAGAAGUCCAACUGUAGCUGCAAAUUGGGGGAGAAGUACUUGCUUCUUAGAGUUAUGAAGAAUACAUUGACAUUUUAAGCUUCGGCAUAGUGGGGCUGAACGUCCCAACCUAAUUGUGACAUGACCAUUCUGUUGACCAGUCUCCAUCCUGAAGUUAUUAAGAUGCUCCUCAGCCAGAAGAAAGACACUUCAAAGCUCAAGCAGAUUUCAAGGAUUUUUGAAGUUCUCUGCUAGAAACUGAAUAUAGAAACCAGGGAUGUGGUCCUUCCAUAACUGAAUGCCCUGACAGAAGCUCAGAAGACUGACAGUUUAACAGCCCUCUUACAGAAUGGUUGCAUCACUAAAUUCCUAGUUUUCUUGGCUUUUUGUUUCAAUUUGGUUUACCCAGGAACUAAUGUCAGUUCAAAAUUCCUUUUUCAGUCACCAUGUAGAGUUCUUUUUGGGUUUUUGUUUUGUUUUCUUAAGCUUCCCACUUCAUUAUUCAUCUAGAUGAUCUAAUUGGUUAAGAGACUGGAGGAUAUCACCAGACUUGAGAAAUGCAAAGUAUUAUGCACGAAAAGUGAAUCAGAUUAAAAUGACAUAACAAUGGCUGGGCCAUCUAGGAACUAAGGCAGCAGCCUCACCUCACUUUCUGUCCUGGCCUGUGAGACUCCCCUUCCUCAUAAUUGCAUGUUCAAAUCCCUGCACUCCCCUAGAGAAUGCCUUGCAAAUAACUUUGUGUAGAAGCAUUUGUGUCAGCCCCUUCAUUGUAUAGGUAAGGAAGGGUGACUCUAGUGGUAAUCCCAGCACUAGGUAAGCCAAGGCAGGGGGGAUGUUAUGGGUUUGAAGCUAGUCUAGUGCAUAUAAUAAAACAUUGUCGGUGCGGGAAGAAAACACAAGCACACAGUCACAUAUCCUCCCCUCCCCCCAAAAAAAUGCCUUCUACAUUUAUGUUUCUGCAUGUUUCCAAUCUGGGUGGAGAUCCACAAGUUGGCUGAUUGUUUCUGUCCCCACAGAACAUGUUAUACCAUGAAGGUUUAAGUAUAAUGGGAUGGUGAGGUGAGGUGAGGUGUGGAUCCGAAGCUGACUAUGAGUCUAGCAGGGCUUUUCCUUCAGAAUACCUUUUGUUUGUUUGAGCAGGCUACCUAGAUUCGCUUGCGCGAUUAAAUGUGGUUAAAUGUGUAGUCCACAACUAUGGAAGUCUUCUACAUUAUGAAGACAUGUAGAGUCCCUUAUCGUUCAGCAUAUCUGCAAAGAAUUUGGUGAUUUUUUUUUUAAAUUUUAAAUUUAUUUAUUAUGUAUAUAGUGUUCUGAGCACCAAAUCUCAUUACAGCUGGGUGAGAGCCACCAUGUGGUUGCUGGGAAUUGAACUCGGGACCUCCGGAACAGCAGUCAGUUCUCUUAACUUCUGAGCCAUCUCUCCAGCCCGACUUUGGUGAUUUUUUAACAGCUGGUCCUUUAUGCUGUCUGUGUACUUUCUUUUUGGUGCCAGUGUUUUCUAUCUCUUUAUUCGGUGAUGGAGAAACAUUUUUCUUUUUUAAUAAUUUCAGUGAGGUCAAUUUGAAAUACUUUCUUAAUUAAAUUAUGACUGAUGAACUUUUUAAAAUUCAAAACUCCUCAUUAUUACAAAUAUUUCUUUGACCUUAUAAUCACUCUUUAAUAUCUUUAGGAUUGGUCUUGUAUGGGCUGCAGAAAUGCUAAAACUUAUCAGAAUAGUUUUUACAUACUAUUUUUUAACUUACUAAAAUAAUAUGACUUCACUCUUCAUAUGUGAACAUAAGUAUUCCCUUAAAUUCUUCAUCCCACACCUGUGGACGCUUGCUUGCUCAAGUAUCUUCUAAGUCAUUUCUUUUGGGGAGGAUGAUAUUUUUGAGAACAAAGACUAUUGCCCUAUUUUACUUUAUUUUAUUUCCUGUAUAAAUAAAAUAUUUUCAUAUUAUCAUGCUUUCCAAUACCAGUUUUGCUUAUAAAUUGCAUUUCUUUAGAACUUAAUUAAAUGAAAUCAAGCAAAAUAGCUUCUUAAAUUUCUAAAGGUUUUUUAAUCACAUGUAUCAACCACUGCACACAGAUACAUGUCAAAAUAUUGAGCAUUAGAAUUUAUAAUAUGUUAAUAAAAUACAAAAAUAAUUUUUUUAAUUAUAGGAAACUGUAUAUAGUUUACAUUUACUUAUAUUAAAAGUUCUCUUAUUAAUUAUAAGGUCAGUAGGAAAGUAAAGUGAAAUCACAUAUAAGACUUACUUUUUAAAUAAUUUUCAGAUACUGUGCCUAUGUCAGCCAGGAAAAAAUGUUUUAAAAAGUAAUAAAAUGGGGAAAUUGCCUCAUUUCUGAUUGCAUUGUGAUAAAUUGUUCUUAUUCUGCUAUUUAUUUUACCCUUCUGAACGGUUUGCCGUAACCAGACAUGAUAAUCAGAAGCUCUCAGAAUAUUGCCACUGAUAGGACCUUGGAGAAGGCUCGUCAGGUAUCCAGGCUGAACUUGAGUCCUCUUUUAUACCUGACAAUUCUGAAAAUAUUUUCAGUGCACUGCAGUAGCUAGGGCAGUAGUAGCCGCCGGAGCAGUGGGUGGUAGCGAGCCCGCCUACUUACUGUCUGUAGAGAAGGAAGGGGUGAGGAAUCUGGCAGCCUGGGCAGUGUAGUCCUAAUUUGAUUUUACCAAAGUAAGGAAAUAAUACAGUAGUUAACCCUGUUUUAGAAUUUACCCCAUUUCAGUUUUUGAAAGAAUAUAAUAUGUGAAUUAUUAUGCAUUAAGAGUGUGGUGGCUUUGAAUAAAAGAUAAAUAUUUAUUCUACUAACUUUGAGUAGACUUAGGAGUGCAUUAUAAUAUACAAUCUUGAUGGCAUCCAGAAAACUUCCUCUUUUGUGAGAAGGGCAAGCCUAUUCUGUUUAAUAUACAUUCAUAAGUGAUCCCAAACCCUAUUACAUAAUUUGUACUUUGCCCAAUAGUAUGUAAACUUUUAUUAUUACACUUUAGCUAGAUGCUAUAUGACAUUAAACACUUCUGUUUUGCUUUAGUAAAUGUAUAACUCAAUCAUCAACCUUGAAAUAUUUUUAUUUUGUAUGUGUAAUUACAUCAGACAUGUAAGAUUAUUUAUAGACUCUAAAAUAUUUGCUUUACGUUAAAGUAAGUUGGACAGUUUUUGGCCUAAAAUGUCACCUAGAUUAUUCAUUAAACAAAAGUAAAUGACAUGGUCAUGGUCACAAUCGUGUGUUAAUUUGAUAUAACUGUAUUAUAAGGGAAAGUUUCUUCAAAUUCAGAUGUUUAACAUGUUAGCUGAGAAAUAAUGAAUGUAUGAAUUUCUGAAAUUGCCUAAUACAAAUAUAAAAUAUACAGAAUACUUUAUAAGGUAAUGUAUCCUUGAGUUUUAUCCAUAUUGUAUUAUGUAAUAACUUCCUUUGGAUCUGUGAAGUGUUUUUGAGUCAAACAUCUGAAUACUCAUUAAGGAGGGUCAUGAAACCUGUGUUAUAUUUUAUUAUCAAAUAAAUUGCAAGUGAACUUAA